rnacentral:rRNA from 1 species
GUCGAACGAGAAAGCCCGCAAGGGUGAGUAAAGUGGCGUACGGGUGAGUAACACGUGGAUGAUCUACCUCUUAGUGGGGGAUAACCUUGGGAAACCGGGGCUAAUACCGCAUAAGCCUGAAAAGGGAAAGGAGCAAUUCGCUGAGAGAGGAGUCCGCGGCUGAUUAGCUAGUUGGUGAGGUAACGGCCCACCAAGGCAAUGAUCGGUAGCCGGCCUGAGAGGGCACACGGCCACACUGGCACUGAAACACGGGCCAGACUCCUACGGGAGGCAGCAGUGGGGAAUCUUGCACAAUGGGGGCAACCCUGAUGCAGCGACGCCGCGUGAGCGAUGAAGCCCUUCGGGGUGUAAAGCUCUUUCGACGGGAACGAUAAUGACGGUACCCGGAGAAGAAGCUGCGGCUAACUACGUGCCAGCAGCCGCGGUAAUACGUAGGCAGCAAGCGUUGUUCGGAGUUACUGGGCGUAAAGAGUGCGUAGGCGGUCCUGUAAGUUUGGUGUGAAAUCUCCCGGCUCAACUGGGAGGGUGCGCCGAAGACUGCAGGGCUUGAGUAUGGGAGAGGUAAGCGGAAUUCCUGGUGUAGCGGUGAAAUGCGUAGAUAUCAGGAGGAACACCUGUGGUGUAGACAGCUUACUGGACCAUAACUGACGCUGAGGCACGAAAGCGUGGGUAGCAAACAGGAUUAGAUACCCUGGUAGUCCACGCCCUAAACGAUGCAUACUUGGUGUGAGCCAUUCUUUUGGUUCGUGCCGGAGCUAA